rnacentral:lncRNA from 10 species
UUCCAAAGUGCUGGGAUUACAGGCCUGUGCCACCGCGCCUGGCCCACUUCAACCAUUUUUAAAUAGCUUCUAUCAGUAGUUGAUCAAGUGACAGAAAUCCAAAUUGAACUAGCUAUAGUAGAUUGCAAACUAUCAAAAUUCUUUUCCUCCCUUCCCAAGGUGUAGUCUAUUUCUCCAACCUUUGCACCUGGAUUGACCAUGUGGCUGGCUUUGGCCAAUGGGACACUAAAAAAUGUGAUGCAAUCAGAAGCUUGAAAAGUGCUUGCACAUUGAGGCUUGCCCUCUCUAGCAGCAAACAGAAUCCUGCAAUUGCCGCGGGGAGAAGGCGAACUGGCCUACUGAAAACAAGAAAUAACGUGGCUCCCCCACCUCCACAGCACCCCAGCCAAUAGACAACCACCUGUCGGCCCAUAAGUGAGGUCAUCCUCUGGACAACCCAGCUGCCAGCUGACCACAAAUGCAUGAGUUAGCGCAGGUGAGAUCAACUAAGGCAGCCCAGCGCAGAGUCCUCUAGCUGACCCACAUUAUCAGGAGAUAAUAAAUGCUGGUUUUACGCCACUGUCGUAAAGGAGGGAGUGACGCAGUAAAAGCUACCUACUUAGCUGCUUUUUUUUUUUAAAAGCUUAAAACAAAGAAAAUUUGUUGCACGACCCUGUGUGUUCUGAGACUGAGCUAAGUAGAAGAAAGAUUGGAUGUACUUGGGCCUCAGGAACAACCAGAACUAAGUAUAUGGAUGUCAGCACAAAAUAAAAGAUGAAGAUAUUUUAAAGGCUCAUAUCUGGACCUACAGACUCUGAACCUAAGACCUCUUCAGGACCUUGCAGUAACAUUGGCUGCCUCCUCAGCUGUGCUUUUUCCUGUUGUCCUCUUUAGUAGGAAGCAAUGGGAAGAAGCACGGGGAGCCUUGGUUUUCCAGAGAGCGGUGACCAGGUCUCUAUUGAGACUGAGGUCAAUAAAUAGGAGACUAAAGAUCUCCAGAUGGAAUUCACCCUGGAAUCUGGGGUAACUGGAAAUGAGAUUAAGAUCUGAGGGGUCUGAGGAGUCUGCAUAAAAAUAAACAACGCCAGAAAGAAGUGAUCCAGUCUUUCAACUGCAAGAGUGAACAGGCUCACAAGAUCUUUCAAGCAACCCACACAGCUGAGUGCAUUUACCCUACCUAUUACUUCAUGUUACCUUUAGCAAGGGCAGGCACCAUAUUUAAUACUGCUUUUACAACCUAUACAGAGCAGUGGUUCUUACAACUUUUUUCCAUCUUCUCCAGUUACAUCUUCUCCCAUUACUUAGAACAAAUGCCCUAUUUCACUGUUUUCUACUUUUUAAUGGAUUAGGGGUACAAACUCAGUGAUAGCAAAUAAAUGUCGAUGUGAAAGCAAAAUUUGGGAAAUUUUACUUUAGCAAUUAUCUGAUUAAGCAAUAAUUAUUUAAAAAUUAUUUUAAAAUUAUGGGCACUAUCCAUACAGUAAGGCUAUUACAAUGAUGAAAUGUGAUGAAAAUGACAGGAUUUUUUUUGUUUUGUUUUUGUUUUUUUUGAGACAGGGUCUUGUUCUGCUGUCCAGGCUGGAGUACAGUGGCACAAUAAUGGCUCACUGCAGCCUUGAUCUCCUGGGCUCAAGUGAUCCUCCUGCCUCAGCCUCCCAAGUAUCCAAGACUACAGGAACCAAAGAAAGAUCUUGCAUUUUCUAAUGAAUUCUGAGCCCACAGUACAACUCAUCUUUGGAAAUCACUGCUCCAGAAUCCAAAGCAUGGUGCUCAGGAACUCCAGGUACAACGUUGAAUAAAGGUGGUGAGAAUAGACAUCCUUGCCUUGUUCCCAAUGUUGAUGGAAGCUUGCUGAUUAAGAAGCAAAAUGGAAGUACUGGAGAAACCCUCUGGAUAUGACAGUUGAAAUGACUUAACUCUUCACGUUAUGAAUUUCUGUGUGAUUUCUCUCAAGUGCAGCCUAGAUGUGUUCAUGUAGCAUCCUCACGUACCUAUAGGAGGCUCCUGCCUUCUAAUAUAUUUAAAAGAUUUUUUUAAAAAAUGAAUAAUCAGUCUCAUUAACCCUGAAAUCCAAGAUCACAACUAUGGGAAUUUCCUAGUGGAAGAGUUUGAAAGAUUAACAGAAAUGCUAUUUAUAAUCAUUAACUAAACAAUUUCUAACCCAUUGCCCACUCAUUUAAUAAAAUCUAAGCUUGGCGAUACAGAAGACCCAUGUCCUCGUAGUGAGAGAAACACUGGCAGUUAUAAUAGAGUGGGGUUGAGUUCUAUAAUAAGUAGUCAGAAAAAGAAACAAUGAAGGUAGAACAAA